UCGAACGAACUCUGGUAUUGAUUGGUGCUUGCAUCAUGAUUUACAUUUGAGUGAGUGGCGAACUGGUGAGUAACACGUGGGAAACCUGCCCAGAAGCGGGGGAUAACACCUGGAAACAGAUGCUAAUACCGCAUAACAACUUGGACCGCAUGGUCCGAGUUUGAAAGAUGGCUUCGGCUAUCACUUUUGGAUGGUCCCGCGGCGUAUUAGCUAGAUGGUGAGGUAACGGCUCACCAUGGCAAUGAUACGUAGCCGACCUGAGAGGGUAAUCGGCCACAUUGGGACUGAGACACGGCCCAAACUCCUACGGGAGGCAGCAGUAGGGAAUCUUCCACAAUGGACGAAAGUCUGAUGGAGCAACGCCGCGUGAGUGAAGAAGGGUUUCGGCUCGUAAAACUCUGUUGUUAAAGAAGAACAUAUCUGAGAGUAACUGUUCAGGUAUUGACGGUAUUUAACCAGAAAGCCACGGCUAACUACGUGCCAGCAGCCGCGGUAAUACGUAGGUGGCAAGCGUUGUCCGGAUUUAUUGGGCGUAAAGCGAGCGCAGGCGGUUUUUUAAGUCUGAUGUGAAAGCCUUCGGCUCAACCGAAGAAGUGCAUCGGAAACUGGGAAACUUGAGUGCAGAAGAGGACAGUGGAACUCCAUGUGUAGCGGUGAAAUGCGUAGAUAUAUGGAAGAACACCAGUGGCGAAGGCGGCUGUCUGGUCUGUAACUGACGCUGAGGCUCGAAAGUAUGGGUAGCAAACAGGAUUAGAUACCCUGGUAGUCCAUACCGUAAACGAUGAAUGCUAAGUGUUGGAGGGUUUCCGCCCUUCAGUGCUGCAGCUAACGCAUUAAGCAUUCCGCCUGGGGAGUACGGCCGCAAGGCUGAAACUCAAAGGAAUUGACGGGGGCCCGCACAAGCGGUGGAGCAUGUGGUUUAAUUCGAAGCUACGCGAAGAACCUUACCAGGUCUUGACAUACUAUGCAAAUCUAAGAGAUUAGACGUUCCCUUCGGGGACAUGGAUACAGGUGGUGCAUGGUUGUCGUCAGCUCGUGUCGUGAGAUGUUGGGUUAAGUCCCGCAACGAGCGCAACCCUUAUUAUCAGUUGCCAGCAUUAAGUUGGGCACUCUGGUGAGACUGCCGGUGACAAACCGGAGGAAGGUGGGGAUGACGUCAAAUCAUCAUGCCCCUUAUGACCUGGGCUACACACGUGCUACAAUGGAUGGUACAACGAGUUGCGAACUCGCGAGAGUAAGCUAAUCUCUUAAAGCCAUUCUCAGUUCGGAUUGUAGGCUGCAACUCGCCUACAUGAAGUCGGAAUCGCUAGUAAUCGCGGAUCAGCAUGCCGCGGUGAAUACGUUCCCGGGCCUUGUACACACCGCCCGUCACACCAUGAGAGUUUGUAACACCCAAAGUCGGUGGGGUAACCUUUUAGAACCAGC
rnacentral:rRNA from 2 species